GGAACAGUGGGCGCGGGAAUGAGGGUACCACGGCGGGGCUUCAAUAAGACGGGCGAUGAGGUGUACUUAUGCCCAGAGGAUAACGACAAAGGUCCACUUGGGAGGGAGAAAUGGCUGAUGAAGCAUCACUUGGGGAAUGAGUCCGUGGCACCAUCACCAGCUGGAAUAGAGGCCGGGAGUGUGGAAGAUGCAGAGAGUAGAAGACAGGCAUCAGCCAUCUCAAGAAUGAGGAUGGGAAGCUUCUAGGGGGGUGUUGGAGGAGUUGAGGGCCCGCUUGGGAUCUACAGUUUGGAUUCUAAACCCUCCCCACGUGGGAGUCCGAGAGCUACAUCCUACCAGAGCUGGGAGCGAUGAACCUCUCCACCGUACAGAGAAAAUGAGACCCAGGGAUGCCGGUGCCGGAAACCUCCAGAUCAGAAUCCGGAGUUCUAAAUCUCAGCCUCAGGCUUCGAUCUGUUAAACUAGGUGCGAAGGAGGAGUUCUCAGCCACUGGGAAAUUGUCAUCCACCCGACCAACCCUCCAGACUCCCGACGUGGAUGGCCUGCCUGCCAGUCCCAGAGCUGCCUCAGCUAACAUGUGGGGAUCACAUGUCCUCAAACGCCUGGCAGGUGUCCAGGCUUUCGCCUGCCCGCUGCUCAUCUCAUCCCUGACUGCCUACGUCGUAUGUGUGCCAAAUGUCGGAGCUCUUCCAACCUCUCCCCCAUAGCCGGCCUCAUAUAUGAACUGCUGUCGACCAAAGUCCACAAGGCGAGUCUUCAUAAACUUCUAAAGCUGCCUAUAUCUCCAUUAAAAAAAUCUUUUUUUUUUUUUAAAUCCAAGGAAGCAAUCCUUGCUCCUUGGAAAAAAAUAUGACAAAGUGGGGCGCCUGGGUGGCUCAGUGGGUUAAAGCCUCUGCCUUCAGCUCAGGUCGUGAUCUCAGGGUCCUGGGAUUGAGCCCCGCAUCAGGCUCUCUGCUCAGCAGGGAGCCUGCUUCCUCCCGCCUCU